rnacentral:rRNA from 1 species
CCCUUAGAUGUCCUGGGCCGCACGCGCGUUACACUGAUGCAUUCAACGAGCUUAUAACCUUGGCCGAGAGGCCUGGGCAAUCUUGUUAACGUGCAUCGUGAUAGGGAUAGAUUAUUGAAAUUAUUAAUCUUGAACGAGGAAUUCCUAGUAAACGCAGAUCAUCAAUCUGCAUUGAUUACGUCCCUGCCCUUUGUACACACCGCCCGUCGCUCCUACCGAUUGGAUGAUCCGGUGAGCUAUUCGGACUUUCGCAUUGUCGAUUUUCGGCUUUACGAGGGAAAGUCUCGCGAACCUUAUCAUCUAGAGGAAGGAGAAGUCGUAACA